UACGUAGGGGGCAAGCGUUGUCCGGAAUCAUUGGGCGUAAAGAGCGUGUAGGCGGCCCGAUAAGUCCGCUGUGAAAGUCCAGGGCUCAACCCUGGGAUGCCGGUGGAUACUGUCGGGCUCGAGUCCGGAAGAGGAGUGUGGAAUUCCCAGUGUAGAGGUGAAAUUCGUAGAUAUUGGGAAGAACACCGGUGGCGAAGGCGGCGACCUGGUCCUUGACUGACGCUGAGGCGCGAAAGCGUGGGGAGCAAACAGG
rnacentral:rRNA from 1 species